rnacentral:rRNA from 1 species
GAUUGAACGCUGGCGGCAGGCCUAACACAUGCAAGUCGAGCGGAUGAAGGGAGCUUGCUCCUGGAUUCAGCGGCGGACGGGGGAGUAAUGCCUAGGAAUCUGCCUGGUAGUGGGGGAUAACGUCCGGAAACGGGCGCUAAUACCGCAUACGUCCUGAGGGAGAAAGUGGGGGAUCUUCGGACCUCACGCUAUCAGAUGAGCCUAGGUCGGAUUAGCUAGUUGGUGGGGUAAAGGCCUACCAAGGCGACGAUCCGUAACUGGUCUGAGAGGAUGAUCAGUCACACUGGAACUGAGACACGGUCCAGACUCCUACGGGAGGCAGCAGUGGGGAAUAUUGGACAAUGGGCGAAAGCCUGAUCCAGCCAUGCCGCGUGUGUGAAGAAGGUCUUCGGAUUGUAAAGCACUUUAAGUUGGGAGGAAGGGCAGUAAGUUAAUACCUUGCUGUUUUGACGUUACCAACAGAAUAAGCACCGGCUAACUUCGUG